rnacentral:rRNA from 1 species
CCUACGGGGUGCAGCAGUAGGGAAUAUUGCUCAAUGGGGGAAACCCUGAAGCAGCAACGCCGCGUGGAGGAUGAAGGUUUUCGGAUUGUAAACUCCUUUUGUUAGAGAAGAUAAUGACGGUAUCUAACGAAUAAGCACCGGCUAACUCCGUGCCAGCCGCCGCGGUAAUACGGAGGGUGCAAGCGUUACACGGAAUUACUGGGCGUAAAGAGCGCGUAGGCGGGGUAGCAAGUCAGAUGUGAAAUCCUAUGGCUUAACCAUAGAACUGCAGUUGAAACUGUUAGUCUAGAGUAUGGGAGAGGUAGGUGGAAUUCGUGGUGUAGGGGUGAAAUCCGUAGAGAUCAAGAAGAAUACUGAUUGCGAAGGCGACCUGCCAGAACGUAACUGACGCUGAGGCGCGAAAGCGUGGGGAGCAAACAGGAUUAGAUACCCCAGUAGUC